GCGGUGGAACAGUAGGAGAAUUACGGAGCGCCAUUAAGGACAAGUUUGGCCACGUGACUCUCAUGGGAGUUUCCUGGAGCGAACUGAAUGAUGCUAAAGGGGAUCAGGGUACAUCAAAAUACACCACUUCGUCAUGAGGAUUAUUUUGAGCUGAAGACAAUUGAGAAUCAACAGAUACAGGAAGAGUCCUCUAGAACUUCCCUUAUCUGCCUAAAAGCAGGGCAUGAAUUUCCGUUUGUGAAGCCAUCCACCCCCAUAUCAAGAAGAGGAGACUGAUCCUAUCACCAGAGAUGGAGAGUCAACACCCAGCUGGGUUUGUAUAAACAGACCUUGCUAGAAGAACCCUUAUCUUCCAUCAGUUCCCCCUUAUAUUUCCUAGUCACUUCCCACGAUUUGUCAUUCCUUGAAACCCAAGCUCCCUUUCCUUUGCUAAAAUGGUAUCUAAGCCCCUGAGUUUUAACUGCUUCUUUGUGUUUCUUUUCUGUGAACUCCUAUGCGUGUAAAUAUUAAUAAAGUUUGUAUACCUUU